GACGAACGCUGGCGGCGUGCUUAACACAUGCAAGUCGAACGGAAAGGCCCCUUUGGGGGUACUCGCGCGGCGAACGGGUGAGUAACACGUGAGUAACCUGCCCUUGCUUUCGGGUUAACUUACUGCAACUGGGGCUAAUACCGGAUAGGAAUCAUUUCUGCAUGGUGGGGGUUGGAAAGCUUCGGGGGUUUUGGAUGGACUCGCGGCUUAUUAACUUGCUGGUGGGGUAGUGGCUUACCAAGGCUUUGUCGGGCAGGCGGCCGGAGAGGGCGACCGGCCACAAUUGGACUGGGGUUCGGCCCAGACCCCUUCGGGAGGGAGGAGGGGGGAAAAAUGGACAAAUGGCGGGAGCCGGAUGCAGGAACGCCGCGGGCGGGAAGACGGGCUUCGGGUUGGAAACCGGUUUCAGCAGGGGCGGAGCUUUUAGUGACGGUACCUGCAGAAGAAGCACCGGCUAACUACGUG
rnacentral:rRNA from 1 species